UAUCUGUCAACUUUGGGGUCAGACACCUCAGACCUGACAGCUGUUAAUCACUGCUGUGAUUAUAUCUCAGCAUUUCUGAGUGUUAGUUAAAAAUUUAUUCUCAGACAUCAGAGGAUCUGGAUCUGAUCCCCGGCAGGAUUUUCGUCUGCUCAGUUCAGCACAAAGCAAACGAUGAAGGUCUGUGUUAUUCUCCUGUUGCUGGCUCCGAUGAUGCUCUUCGGACACACGCCCUUACUACCACAGGACUGCAGCGACAUCUAUCGCCAGAACCAAACCCAAUCCAGUGGAGUGUACGUCAUCUGUCCCACUGGAGCCACAUCUCGUGUGGAGGUAUACUGUGACAUGGACUCACAGGGUGGAGGCUGGAUGGUG